ACGAGACGAGACGUCUAGACGAACGACGAGACGAACUCGGCGGACGUACGUAGAUCGGUGGUGUUUCCGUUUCCGCAUUCGUCGAAUUGGACUGGAGAAUCGCGACUUUUUCAACGUGUUGAGUUCGAAUCCAGCAGAGGCAGAGCUUUGGCCGAAUCGGGCCGAAAUCUGAUCGCCGCUGCCUACGAGAACUCCUCUCGAAGUUCAGCCGUUUGAAAAGCGAGCUGUUUAUUGUGUAGGAUCCAAUACCCAUUUCUGGUGGAUCACAGACCUGCCAAGGAAAACAUGGUGUUGCCCUCCUGCCCCCAGCACCUUUGCUAGAGAAGAAGUAUUCAGCUCUUAAUUCAUUUCUGCAUCUUGAAAUGGACCUUGUAAAUAGCGAAUUUCUUCAUGCGGCCAGAGAGUUGCACGGUCGAGUAACUAAUGUCCACCUGAGAAAUUUAACAGAAAAAUUGCUAUUGAAUGGAGGUCAUUGGUCAUUUGACACAGGAGUCUGAACGCUUACGACAGAAAGCCAUCAUAACGUGUUGAAAUUCUUGAAUGAACCUUGAUGACUGCGUUAAAUUAGCGAAGUGCGACCUCAACUAGCAGAGAGUAAGUGUUCCAUUUUUGGACACAGUGAAAGUUUCAUUGGCUCGCUAAAUACUACUCUUGCCGAGUAUAAACAAUUGGCUAUAAUGUGCACCCAACAAAGCUUAGAGCUGUCACCGCUCUAGUGUAACGUUAUGGGAAAUUUCUUAGAGCGGUGGCCGCUCUAGUGUAACGUUAUGGGCUUUUUCUUAGAGCGCUGGCAGCUCUAGUGUAACGUUAUGGGUUUUUUCUUAGAGCGGUGGCUGCUCUAAGCUUAGAGCGGUGGCAGCUCUAGUGUAGAGAGUUCACUGCUCCAGUUCGCGCGGCUACAGGCCUGGAGAUCGUUGGGUGUGGAAGCUUUGCCUAAUAGAGACUUUUGCACCACAUGUGCUUCAAGGGAAAAUUGGUUCAAUUCAUGCUCAUGACGUCGACUUUGCUGAAUUGUCGAGUUUUCAGAAGGGGAACAUCAAAAAUCUCUGUCAUCAAUUUUAGAUGGAUGGCUUUGUUGAGAGAUUCAUUCAUCCUUGGCCGCCGCAAUUACAAAUUGUUUGGUGGGAUCGUCCGCCUGGACAACAUAUUACCUCUCCCUAAUCGGCAUAUUCAGCUCUCUGAGCUUAAGUGGCAUUUCGACUUUGGUGAUUUAAAUGCCAACUUCAACACCAUACCUGAAGAUGAGCUAGCUACUUGUGGAGAACCAGGACCUUGACACCCAUGUUUACCUGAAAAGGGACAUUGCUAACUCCUCUUGGCUUAUCUUCUCCGAUGGGGAGACAACUAGACCACCGUCGGUGCUAAGGGAUGAAGACAUGACAAACAUGUUUGGCCUGUACUAUAUCUACGUACUCGAUGAGCACCACAUGAAGUCAUCAACUGAAGAUAAAGUUCUCAAAGGCCUACCAGAAGCCCCAGAAGGUGCAUCAGCUUUGAAGGGAAAAAGGCUUAAGCCAGAGUGUAGCACAGUUGCGCAAUAAUGCACCCCUAGCAAGGAGUGGAUUUUCAAUUUGCGAGUUAAUUUUAUGAAAAGAGAAGCUGUCUCGGAGCACGCAGUUUGAGCGGUCGACGCUGAGCAGCUCGCGUCGGUUUCCGCGCCCGGUGGGGCGCGCCAGCACGUUUUUCCUCUCCCGUUCAGCACUAUUAUUUUCGCUUCGAAACGCACCCCGGCGAGUAUCACGUCACCCCGUCGGCGGGCGCGACCCGACCCGUCGGAGGGGGGGCCUACGCCGACGCCCACGCACUUUUUGCCACACGAAGAACAGCGGCGGUCGGCCGGUACGCUUGUUCGCCCAGACGACCUCGAGUCGCUUUUUCGGCGGCCGACGGCAGACACGCAAACGGAAGUUAAUUUUUGAAUGAAGUUUCAUUUUUUUUUUCGAAUUAAAAAAGAUGCUUCAGCUUUGAUUAGUUUGUUAUUCUUCUUCCUGAUUUUAGUUUUGCAUAUCUUGUGAUUUUAAUCUGCUCGUCUUUUAUUUAAAUUCAUCCCAAUCACAAUUUUUUUCUCAGCCGCUGAUGUUGCCAUGAAGUUCAUCAGAAAACAGGCUCGACAGGAACGGACUUCAUUUGUCCACUCAAUCCUUCUGCGCAUCUUCAUUAACCCAUGUUUAUUUCUUAUAGGAGGUCAAAUGCAUAAAUGCAUUUAAUAAAUUUAUCAAACGCUGCUGGGCGGUGCCUGAACGCAGUGCACCAUCGGGUUGGGUAUAUAAUUAUAGCAUGUUGUCGCUUUUAACUUAAAAAAGGCUGUCACUGUGAUUUUACUAAUUGUGCGCUUCUUGUGUGGAAAAAAAUCAUAUUAUUUUUUUAUCCGUCAAGCUUUUGUGUAAAAAUAUUCUUAAUUGUUUUUUUUCCAGGAUACGAUACCUGCUUCCCGGUGAAUAAAUAUGGCUCAUCAAAUCCUCUGACAGCGUCUAAAUUCCGCUGCUGGGAACCACGACUUCAAGGCAUGAGUGCUGCUGUUACAUCUCGCAGCAUUGUCGCCUGCCAGCUAGGACAACAGCUCC